rnacentral:rRNA from 1 species
UACGAAGGGGGCUAGCGUUGUUCGGAAUUACUGGGCGUAAAGCGCACGUAGGCGGGUUGUUAAGUCAGGGGUGAAAUCCUGGAGCUCAACUCCAGAACUGCCUUUGAUACUGGCAACCUAGAGACUGGAAGAGGUUAGUGGAAUUCCCAGUGUAGAGGUGAAAUUCGUAGAUAUUGGGAAGAACACCAGUGGCGAAGGCGGCUCACUGGCCCGAUACUGACGCUGAGGUGCGAAAGCGUGGGGAGCAAACAGG